CAGUAGCCGCGGUAAUACGAAGGGGGCUAGCGUUGUUCGGAUUUACUGGGCGUAAAGGGCGCGUAGGCGGGCGAAUAAGUCAGGGGUGAAAUCCCAAGGCUCAACCUUGGAACUGCCUUUGAUACUGUUUGUCUUGAGUCCGGGAGAGGUGAGUGGAACUGCGAGUGUAGAGGUGAAAUUCGUAGAUAUUCGCAAGAACACCAGUGGCGAAGGCGGCUCACUGGCCCGGAACUGACGCUGAGGCGCGAAAGCGUGGGGAGCAAACAGGAUUAGAUACCCGUGUAGUCCCUGUCUCUUAUAC
rnacentral:rRNA from 1 species